UGAUCUCACACGUAGAGUCUUAUUGCAGAUACAAAGAAUGUUUUCUUCUUCCGAGUUACCAGAGAAAGAAGAUAAUAAUGAUGCAAGUGAGAAUUUCCUGUACUAGUCUUCAUUCAUUUACUAUAGGUCUGAAAACCUACGGGAGUGAUUUUAUUAUUUAUAUGACCCUCUACUUAAUAGAAAACACAGCCCUAUAAACAUGAAAUU
rnacentral:lncRNA from 1 species